rnacentral:rRNA from 1 species
ACGAACGCUGGCGGCGUGCUUAACACAUGCAAGUCGAACGGAAAGGCCCUGCUUUUGUGGGGUGCUCGAGUGGCGAACGGGUGAGUAACACGUGAGUCACCUGCCCUUGACUUUGGGAUAACUUCAGGAAACUGGGGCUAAUACCGGAUAGGAGCUCCUGCUGCAUGGUGGGGGUUGGAAAGUUUCGGCCGUUGGGGAUGGACUCGCGGCUUAUCAGCUUGUUGGGGGGGUAGUGGCUUACCAAGGCUUUGCGGGGUAGCCGGCCUGGGAGGGGGGCCGGGCACAUGGGGACUGAGGUACGGCCCAGACGCCUACGGUAGGCAGCAGUGGGGAAUAUUGCACAAUGGGCGGAAGCCGGAUGCAGCAACGCCGCGGGCGGGAUGACGGCCUUCGGGUUGUAAACCGCUUUCGCCUGUGACGAAGCGUGAGUGACGGUAAUGGGUAAAGAAGCACCGGCUAACUACGUG